AGCGACAUGACAAUGAAUAGUGGGAUAUGAUGGAUUUUACAUGCACCCCAUCAUCUGCAGAUGAAUGGAGCUAUUCAACAAUGAAACAGCUGACUCACAAAGCAACUGAAGAAAGAGCAUUAAGGAGCUCUUGCAGUGGGAUCAUAGAAGCAGAGGCCUGGAAGCAUGGGACCUUUGUGAGGUUUUCCCAAGCUGGGGACUGACAUAGUGUUGGAUUUGCCAUCCUGGACCUUACUCUGUCACUGACCAGAGUGACUCCCUUGUCCUGCUAGUGGUCAACUAUGCUGGCAAUCCUAAUACAAUGGAUUCUAGGCUUCUUUUGUCUUCCUCUGCCUAUCCGUAAGUAAUAAAUCUGCUUCAUGUAA